ACUCCUACGGGAGGCAGCAGUAGGGAAUCUUCCACAAUGGGCGCAAGCCUGAUGGAGCAACACCGCGUGAGUGAAGAAGGGUUUCGGCUCGUAAAGCUCUGUUAUUAAAGAAGAACACGUAUGAGAGUAACUGUUCAUACGUUGACGGUAUUUAACCAGAAAGUCACGGCUAACUACGUGCCAGCAGCCGCGGUAAUACGUAGGUGGCAAGCGUUAUCCGGAUUUAUUGGGCGUAAAGAGAGUGCAGGCGGUUUUCUAAGUCUGAUGUGAAAGCCUUCGGCUUAACCGGGAGAAGUGCAUCGGAAACUGGAUAACUUGAGUGCAGAAGAGGGUAGUGGAACUCCAUGUGUAGCGGUGGAAUGCGUAGAUAUAUGGAAGAACACCAGUGGCGAAGGCGGCUACCUGGUCUGCAACUGACGCUGAGACUCGAAAGCAUGGGUAGCGAACAGGAUUAGAUACCCUGGUAGGAUAGCG
rnacentral:rRNA from 1 species